rnacentral:rRNA from 1 species
UGGGGAAUUUUGCGCAAGCCUGAUCCAGCCAUGCCGCGUGAGUGAAGAAGGCCUUAGGGUUGUAAAGCUCUUUCACCCGUGAAGAUGAUGACGGUAGCGGGAGAAGAAGCCCCGGCUAACUUCGUGCCAGCAGCCGCGGUAAUACGAAGGGGGCUAGCGUUGUUCGGAAUUACUGGGCGUAAAGCGCGCGUAGGCGGACUGGUCAGUUGGGGGUGAAAUCCCGGGGCUCAACCUCGGAACUGCCUUCAAUACUGCCAGUCUCGAGUCCGGGAGAGGUGAGUGGAAUUCCUAGUGUAGAGGUGAAAUUCGUAGAUAUUAGGAAGAACACCAGUGGCGAAGGCGGCUCACUGGCCCGGUACUGACGCUGAGGUGCGAAAGCGUGGGGAGCAAACAGGAUUAGAUAC